rnacentral:misc_RNA from 1 species
CUUAUGUGUGAGUGAUUCAAUAGUUGAGCUUGUUCCUUCAAUACAACAAUUCCCUGGUGGAGGCACAUAUGAGGUCAUGGCAACUAGGCCACGCCCAGAUUUAUACAUUAAUCUCCCUGCCCUGAAGAAGCUUGAUGCCAUGCUAAUUAGCAUGCUUGAUGGGUUUUGUGACACGGAGUUCUGGUAUGUGGAUCGGGGGAUAAUUGUAGCUGAUGGUGGUGAUUGCGAUUUGUAUCCAUCAAGUAUUUCUAGUGGGAG